rnacentral:rRNA from 1 species
GCGUGAGUGAUGAAGGCCUUAGGGUUGUAAAGCUCUUUCGACGGGGACGAUGAUGACGGUACCCGUAGAAGAAGCCCCGGCUAACUUCGUGCCAGCAGCCGCGGUAAUACGAAGGGGGCUAGCGUUGUUCGGAAUUACUGGGCGUAAAGCGCACGCAGGCGGUCUGAUUAGUCAGAAGUGAAAGCCCCGGGCUUAACCUGGGAACUGCUUUUGAUACUGUCAGGCUUGAAUCACGGAGAGGGUAGUGGAAUUCCGAGUGUAGAGGUGAAAUUCGU